rnacentral:rRNA from 1 species
ACGCUCGACACCUACGGGAGACAGCAGUGGGGAAUAUUGCACAAUGGGGGAAACCCUGAUGCAGCGAUGCCGCGUGAAGGAAGAAGUAUCUCGGUAUGUAAACUUCUAUCAGCAGGGAAGAAAAUGACGGUACCUGACUAAGAAGCCCCGGCUAACUACGUGCCAGCAGCCGCGGUAAUCUGAGGCGGGCUGGCAAGGC